rnacentral:rRNA from 1 species
CUCGGCAACGGAUAUCUCGGCUCUCGCAUCGAUGAAGAACGUAGCGAAAUGCGAUACCUGGUGUGAAUUGCAGAAUCCCGUGAACCAUCGAGCCUUCGAACGCAAGUUGCGCCCGAAGCCAUUAGGCUGAGGGCACGUCUGCCUGGGCGUCACGC